GAUAUGUUGGAAGAUUCCCCCUAAAUAUUUUAUACAAUGUACAGGUCCUGAUCGACCUUUGACAACCGUAAAUUGGAGGAGAAGGGGAAAUCGAAACCUACCAGAGAAGAGCCCCUCUCUGAUGGUUCUGUCAACCAGCAAAGGUGUUUUUCAGUCUGACCCUGAGGACGAUUUGCGCUGACCUCCCCCUUAUCAUGCAGUCAAGAAAGGUAUGUUUGGGGGAAACAACUGCAAGCUAACUCUUCAGGUUCACCCGAAGGCGACUAAUCAAACUGAGGUCCUAAGAUCAACAAGUCUCACUCACAAGCAAGGAGGCUAAGCAACAAAACCAUAAAUCUGAUGUCACCAAAAUCUUUAACAACACAAUCGCAUGGAUGAAAAUUGUAUUUUAUAGUGUUUGUUGUUCAGCCUUCACACCUUUUAUCAUUGAAUUGAUUCAUUAUGCUUGUACAAUAUGGUAUUAAUAUGUGUUAUAGAAAUAAGACUACAUUCUUUCCUUGAAGGGAAAGGAAAAAUUAUGAGAAAAGAAAAAAAAUGGAAAUGAAAUUUAUGUAAAUAGGGAAGGGUGGAGGGGGUGAAGGGCACAAAGGUAAUGGGGAAAAAAAUAAGAACCAAGAUACAUCAUGUACAGCUACAAGCAUCCAAUGAUAAAUAUAAAUGUAUUGUAUACCUAAAAUG
rnacentral:lncRNA from 1 species